CCUACGGGCGGCUGCAGUGGGGAAUAUUGCACAAUGGGCGCAAGCCUGAUGCAGCCAUGCCGCGUGUGUGAAGAAGGCCUUCGGGUUGUAAAGCACUUUCAGCGGGGAGGAAGGCGUUAAGGUUAAUAACCUUGGCGAUUGACGUUACCCGCAGAAGAAGCACCGGCUAACUCCGUGCCAGCAGCCGCGGUAAUACGGAGGGUGCAAGCGUUAAUCGGAAUUACUGGGCGUAAAGCGCACGCAGGCGGUCUGUCAAGUCGGAUGUGAAAUCCCCGGGCUCAACCUGGGAACUGCAUUCGAAACUGGCAGGCUAGAGUCUUGUAGAGGGGGGUAGAAUUCCAGGUGUAGCGGUGAAAUGCGUAGGGAUCUGGAGGAAUACCGGUGGCGAAGGCGGCCCCCUGGACAAAGACUGACGCUCAGGUGCGAAAGCGUGGGGAGCAAACAGGAUUAGAUACCCGUGUAGUC
rnacentral:rRNA from 1 species